rnacentral:rRNA from 1 species
GACGAACGCUGGCGGCGUGCCUAAUACAUGCAAGUCGAACGCAUUUUCUUUCACCGUAGCUUGCUACACCGAAAGAAAAUGAGUGGCGAACGGGUGAGUAACACGUGGGUAACCUGCCCAUCAGCGGGGGAUAACACUUGGAAACAGGUGCUAAUACCGCAUAAUUCCAUUUACCGCAUGGUAGAUGGAUGAAAGGCGCUUUUGCGUCACUGAUGGAUGGACCCGCGGUGCAUUAGCUAGUUGGUGGGGUAACGGCCUACCAAGGCUGCGAUGCAUAGCCGACCUGAGAGGGUGAUCGGCCACACUGGGACUGAGACACGGCCCAGACUCCUACGGGAGGCAGCAGUAGGGAAUCUUCGGCAAUAGACGCAAGUCUGACCGAGCAACGCCGCGUGAGUGAAGAAGGUUUUCGGAUCGUAAAACUCUGUUGUUAGAGAAGAACAAGGAUGAGAGUGGAAAGUUCAUCCCUUGACGGUAUCUAACCAGAAAGCCACGGCUAACUACGUG